UAGGGAAUCUUCCACAAUGGACGCAAGUCUGAUGGAGCAACGCCGCGUGAGUGAAGAAGGUUAUCGGAUCGUAAAGCUCUGUUGUUGGUGAAGAAGGAUAGAGGUAGUAACUGGCCUUUAUUUGACGGUAAUCAACCAGAAAGUCACGGCUAACUACGUGCCAGCAGCCGCGGUAAUACGUAGGUGGCAAGCGUUGUCCGGAUUUAUUGGGCGUAAAGCGAGCGCAGGCGGAAGAAUAAGUCUGAUGUGAAAGCCCUCGGCUUAACCGAGGAACUGCAUCGGAAACUGUUUUUCUUGAGUGCAGAAGAGGAGAGUGGAAUUCCAUGUGUAGCGGUGGAAUGCGUAGAUAUAUGGAAGAACACCAGUGGCGAAGGCGACUCUCUGGUCUGCAACUGACGCUGAGGCUCGAAAGCAUGGGUAGCGAACAGG
rnacentral:rRNA from 1 species